UGCAGUCGUACGGCAACACAGUUGCGAGCAAUCGCAACCGGUGGCGAGUGGCGCACGGGUGAGUAACGCGUAUGUAACCUACCCUUCUCCGGGACAUAACUCCGCGAAAGCGGUGCUAAUAUCCCAUACCAACUCAUCAAGACAUCUUCUUGAGUUGAAAGCAGCAAUGCGGUGAAGGAUGGGCAUGCGUCCCAUUAGCUGGUUGGUGAGGUAAUGGCCCACCAAGGCUACGAUGGGUAGGGGUUCUGAGAGGAAAGCCCCCCACACUGGUACUGAGACACGGACCAGACUCCUACGGGAGGCAGCAGUAAGGAAUAUUGGGCAAUGGUCGAAAGACUGACCCAGCCAUGCCGCGUGCAGGAUGAAGGCCCUAUGGGUUGUAAACUGCUUUUAGCCGGGAAUAAACACCCGUUUUAUAACGGGCCCGAAGGUACCGGCUGAAUAAGCAUCGGCUAACUCCGUGCCAGCAGCCGCGGUAAUACGGAGGAUGCAAGCGUUAUCCGGAUUCACUGGGUUUAAAGGGUGCGCAGGCGGACAUUUAAGUCAGGGGUGAAAUCCUACAGCUUAACUGUAGAACUGCCCUUGAUACUGAAUGCCUAGAGUAAAGCUGAAGUGGGCGGAAUGUGUUGUGUAGCGGUGAAAUGCUUAGAUAUAACACAGAACACCAAUCGCGAAGGCAGCUCACUAAACUUUAACUGACGCUCAUGCACGAAAGCGUGGGGAGCAAACAGGAUUAGAUACCCUGGUAGUCCACGCCCUAAACGAUGAUCACUCGCUGUUGGCG
rnacentral:rRNA from 1 species